rnacentral:rRNA from 1 species
GUGGGGAAUAUUGGACAAUGGGCGCAAGCCUGAUCCAGCAAUGCCGCGUGAGUGAUGAAGGCCUUAGGGUUGUAAAGCUCUUUCACCGGGGAAGAUAAUGACGGUACCCGGAGAAGAAGCCCCGGCUAACUCCGUGCCAGCAGCCGCGGUAAUACGGAGGGGGCUAGCGUUGUUAGGAAUUACUGGGCGUACAGCGCGCGUAGGCGGCUUGACAAGUUGGAGGUGAAAGCCCGGAGCUCAACUUCGGAAUUGCCUUCAAGACUGUCUCGCUCGAGGCAGGGAGAGGAGAGCGGAAUACCCAGUGUAGAGGUGAAAUUCGUAGAUAUUGGGUGGAACACCGGUGGCGACGGCGGCUCUCUGGCCCUGAUCUGACGCUAAGGCGCGAAAGCGUGGGGAGCAAACAGGAUUAGAAACCCCAGUAGUCC